UGGGGAAUAUUGCACAAUGGGCGAAAGCCUGAUGCAGCGACGCCGCGUGAGGGAUGACGGCCUUCGGGUUGUAAACCUCUUUCAGUAGGGACGAAGCGCAAGUGACGGUACCUGCAGAAGAAGCACCGGCUAACUACGUGCCAGCAGCCGCGGUAAUACGUAGGGUGCGAGCGUUGUCCGGAAUUACUGGGCGUAAAGAGCUCGUAGGCGGUUUGUCACGUCGUCUGUGAAAUCCUAGGGCUUAACCCUGGACGUGCAGGCGAUACGGGCUGACUUGAGUACUACAGGGGAGACUGGAAUUUCUGGUGUAGCGGUGGAAUGCACAGAUAUCAGGAAGAACACCGAUGGCGAAGGCAGGUCUCUGGGUAGUAACUGACGCUGAGGAUCGAAAGCAUGGGUAGCGAACAGG
rnacentral:rRNA from 1 species